CUGAGAUUGGAAACAUACAGAGGAGGAAGGCUACUCCAUUGAAUGAGAAUGAAGGGAUUUAUGUUAGAAAUGUUCAGUCAGGACAGGGAGGGUGGUGGUGUUGGUGAUGCCAGUAUUAGGAAGAUAGCAUAUUUUGAUGGA